rnacentral:rRNA from 1 species
UGGGGAAUAUUGGACAAUGGGCGCAAGCCUGAUCCAGCCAUGCCGCGUGAGUGAUGAAGGCCUUAGGGUUGUAAAGCUCUUUCGCUAGGGAAGAUAAUGACGGUACCUAGUAAAGAAGCCCCGGCUAACUUCGUGCCAGCAGCCGCGGUAAUACGAAGGGGGCUAACGUUGUUCGGAUUUACUGGGCGUAAAGCGCACGUAGGCGGAUUAGUAAGUUAGGGGUGAAAUCCCAAGGCUCAACCUUGGAACUGCCUUUAAUACUGCUAAUCUAGAGAUCGGGAGAGGUGUAUGGAACUCCUAGUGUAGAGGUGGAAUUCGUAGAUAUUAGGAAGAACACCAGUGGCGAAGGCGAUACACUGGCCCGAUACUGACGCUGAGGUGCGAA